GGCUACUGCUUUUGGGAUUCGAUUAAGCCAUGUGAGUCAAGGGGUCUUCGGACACCGGCAUACUGCUCAGUAACACGUGGAUAACCUAACCUCUGGAGGGGCACAGCCUCGGGAAACUGAGGGUAAUUCCCCAUAGGUCUUAGGUGCUGGAAUGCCCUUAGACUGAAAUGUUCCAGCGCCAGAGGAUGGGUCUGCGACCUAUCAGGUUGUAGUUGGUGUAACGGACCAACUAGCCUUCGACGGGUACGGGCGUUGAGAGACGUAGCCCGGAGAUGGACUCUGAGACACGAGUCCAGGCCCUACGGGGCGCAGCAGGCGCGAAAACUUCGCAAUGCGGGAAACCGCGACGAGGGAAUCCCAAGUGCGAGCACAAUGUGUACGCUGAUUCCUUGUCUAAAAAACAAGGAGAGUAAGGGCUGGGUAAGACCGGUGCCAGCCGCCGCGGUAAUACCGGCAGCUCUAGUGGUAGCCGUUUUUAUUGGGCUUAAAGCAUCCGUAGCCGGCUGGGUAAAUCCCUGGGUAAAUCGUACAGCCUAACUGUGCGACUUCCGGGGACACUGCCUAGCUUGGGACCGGGAGAGGUUAGAGGUACUCUUUGGGUAGGGGUAAAAUCCUGUAAUCCUUAGAGGACGACCAGUGGCGAAGGCGUCUAACCAGAACGGAUCCGACGGUGAGGGAUGAAGCCCUGGGUCACGAACGGGAUUAGAUACCCCGGUAGUCCAGGGUGUAAACGCUGCAGACUUGGUGUUGGUUGUCCCACGAGGGCAACCAGUGCCGGAGAGAAAUUGUUAAGUCUGCCGCCUGGGGAGUACGCUUGCAAGAGUGAAACUUAAAGGAAUUGGCGGGGGAGCACAGCAACGGGUGGAGCGUGCGGUUU
rnacentral:rRNA from 1 species